ACUGCCUUUUUCCAACCACGUCAAGGCUCCCCAAGCAGCUCUGUCCACCAUCAGGCAGAUGUUUCUCCUCAAGAAAAUAAAAUGCCUGGAGAGGGGAUGGGUCCCCAUUCAGAUCUGUCAUCGAGGGAAGAUUAAAAGAGAAAACCAACUCUCCUGCCUGUGAUCUCACCAGUGGGAAAAUGAUGCUCUCGUCCCGCAGGCCAAGAGCAGCUUUUGUAGGAUACGCUGGCGAGCUGCACUCCAGGUCUCUCCAAACAGCUAAGUGCAUUUCUGAACCAAAGGAAGCAAACGGAAAACAUCCGUUCCUCUUGUAAUGGAGAAAGCUUUUCCUUUUGUUGCGUGCUUUUUAUCGAGUGCCUGCUGCCGUUACCGUUCCUCGCUCCGUCAUUACCUCCGAGUGGCUCCUUCCACCAUCGUGAGCAGCUCCGUCGUCUGCUCCAAGCAGUUACAGGCUCUGCUGAUUCCCACCACGCUCUUUCGCUGGAGAAGGAUGCACUGGGCGCCGUGGCCAAGGAAUUUCUAGUGUCCACACUGCCUCUGAGCCCGUGGCAUCCAGCUGGCCUUCACAGCGACCAGGACUCUGUUGGGGCUUGAGAAGAAGCCCAUACCCGGCACCAAGUGUUGCCCUGGACUUGAACACCUGGAGGUGGGAGGCUGUGUGGUCUCGGAAGAGAAGGCGCUGCCCAGCUGCACGGCCACAUCUGGAGCGUGCUGAGGUGGUGCUGCAGGUGGAUGGAUGUAAUCCUGACCGCUUUGCCAGUGCGUGAAACUUGGAAUAUGGAGGUUUAGGAAUCUGCAGCAAGAUAACCAAAAACGGGAUGUUAUAAUCAGGCUGUUGACGGGUGAAACGGGUACCUCCUUCCCCAGCGUAGCUGCUUCCAGAGGUCUUCAGUUUAGGUCUCCCUGCUGUUUAGAGUAACCUCACCAUCAUAACGUCACCAUCGCACAGCUGUGACGGCAGGAG